rnacentral:rRNA from 1 species
AGCCCCUCGAGUGGUGGGGACUAUUAUUUGGCCUAAAGCGUCCGUAGCCGGCUAAAGCCGUCACCCGUUAAAUCCAGCGUCUCAAGCGUUGGACUGCGGGUGAUACCCUUUAGCUUGAGGGUGGGACAGGUCAGCGGUAUUCCCGGGGUAGGGGCGAAAUCCUUUGAUCCCGGGAGGACCACCAGUGGCGAAGGCUGCUGACUAGAACACGCCUGACGGUCAGGGACGAAAGCUGGGGUAGCGAACC